UAGGGAAUCUUCCGCAAUGGGCGAAAGCCUGACGGAGCAACGCCGCGUGAGUGAUGAAGGUCUUCGGAUCGUAAAACUCUGUUAUUAGGGAAGAACAAAUGUGUAAGUAACUAUGCACGUCUUGACGGUACCUAUUCAGAAAGCCACGGCUAACUACGUGCCAGCAGCCGCGGUAAUACGUAGGUGGCAAGCGUUAUCCGGAAUUAUUGGGCGUAAAGCGCGCGUAGGCGGUUUUUUAAGUCUGAUGUGAAAGCCCACGGCUCAACCGUGGAGGGUCAUUGGAAACUGGAAAACUUGAGUGCAGAAGAGGAAAGUGGAAUUCCAUGUGUAGCGGUAAAAUGCGCAGAAAUAUGGAGGAACACCAGUGGCGAAGGCGGCUUUCUGGUCUGUAACUGACGCUGAUGUGCGAAAGCGUGGGGAUCAAACAGG
rnacentral:rRNA from 1 species